rnacentral:tRNA from 1 species
UCUUUGCUAGUAUAUCGGUUAGUACACGCGCCUGUCAUGGCUUAACCGUGCGCGCGAAAGCUGGGUUCGACUCCCAGGCAGAGAG